GAGCCUGGAGUCAUUGUGCGUCUCAAAUGCGCUUCUUUCACCGCGAGACAAAGAGCAGCUUCCACUUCAAACGCAUGUUAUUGCUCUCCAUGAGAACUUUCACACCUUACACGUCACAAUCUGACACUGCUCAACAACUCAUGAGGGCAGUCAUGUGUCCAAAGGCCUUUUAGGUGGAAGAAAAUGGUUCUCAAAUUGUGGAAAGCCAGUGUCCAACAACCAGCAGCAAAACACAUGGACCGGAUCUUACAGUCUGACCGGACUGGACUGGACUUGGUUUGCCUGUGUGAGUAGACAGAUCAUUCAUUCUAUCUUCGUGCCGUGCCGUCCCAUGCCCCAAAUAACAAACUGAUUUCACCUUUUUAUACUUAUACUUAUACUUUAUACUUCUUCUCUGAGAAGUCAGAAGUUAAUCAAGCAUAACCUUCAACCAGGAAUCCAAAUAAAUAACUAUAAUUUGACAUCUUUUUGCCAGUGCUGUUAAAGUAGGGCAGUUGUGUCUAA